rnacentral:rRNA from 1 species
CUUGGGACACUGUCAGGUGGGCAGUUUGACUGGGGCGGUCGCCUCCCAAAAGGUAACGGAGGCGCUCAAAGGUUCUCGCAGUACGGUCGGAAAUCGUACGUAGAGUGUAAAGGCAAAAGAGAGCUUGCUUGCAAGACAUACAGGUCGAGCAAGGAUGAAAAUCGGACUUAGUGAUCCGGUGGUUCUGCGUGGAAGGGCCAUCGCU